UCGGUGCGGAGCCGCGCGAGGUCUCUCUCUAUCCACCUACAGUCUCAUUCUGUUUUGCAAAGUGCACUCCAAAAAGGACACGGCGCCGGCCCCGCGUGAAAGCACGAACGAUGUCUCCGGCUGAACAGGAGCACAAAUUGUUCUGAAGAUGGAAGCCAGGGGAACAAAGUUUCGUGUUUCACCGGAAGCCCCUCCUUUCUCCCCCUAACUCGGCUUCAAGCGCAGCCAAGUAAUAAAGCCCUCACACAAGGUCACUGGUCUUGGUGACCGUGUGCAUGAAUUCACAUGUGCAGAAGAAAAGUAAAACACUUUUCCUGCACUUUCCUCCUACCAUGAAAUUAAAUUAUUGAACUUUUGAAGGCGA